AGCUCCAUAUCAGCGGAAGCAAAUUCAAGACUUGCUCCGCCUGUCGCACCAAAGCCUUCAUGGAUAUCAAGAAAACAAGAUGACGAUCAUGAACAAAAAAGAGAAUCAGAAGCAGUUGAAGGUAGCCUACAGUUUACAGUCAAAUGUAUUGAGGAAGCCAUGCGUGAACCGAGCAUGUUUGUGUUAGGAUUGCAACAAAUGCUAUCAGCUGUUCAUACUCACAAAAGCAUUGAACAAAAGUUAAGUGAUGCUCAUGCUAAAAACAAUUAUUUACAAAAAAAUAUUGAAGAGCAAUUGCG